rnacentral:lncRNA from 1 species
GCAGUCCUGUGUGCAGUCCUGUGUGAGUACAUGUACAUGUACAUGUAUAUACAGUGGUACUGUGUGUACCAGGGCGUGGCCCAUGAUUUAAAAAGCCAGUUUAUCCUGCAAACUGGCUUUUCCCUGUGGGAAUAGAGAAUUCCUAGGUUCUUGGUGAACCAGAUAGCUUGUUCUGUGUGAACAACAGUUAGCCAACUCCCAAGACUAGCUCACGGUCUACCGAGAGAGUCAGGAGGAAUAUUCGGAACCGAGUCCUGUGUGGACCGUCAGGCAUCGAGCCAGAUUCCAAGGCCCGGAGUGGUCACCCAAGUUCCCCAAGCCCGGAGUUCAUCCGCCUUAGUGGGAUCGUCAAAGCGCCGGAGGGAUGUUGUGUGUGUGACUGGUGCUCCAAAUCGACCACCCGUGUCACAAGUGUGAGCUUUGAACACAGCAAGUCCUUCAAAAGGUUUUGAACAGUGACUGUUUAGGGGGGGUAAUUGCAUUUGUUUUGGGGUAUUGGAAACGGCCGUGUAACACAUAAUACAGGAUCCUUAUAAUGCCAUGAUAUAAUUGAGUAUCCGUCACUCAAAGUAUAAGUAAUUCAUAUAGUGGCAUAAUUCAAUUGAAAUAAUUUGUACAUAGUAAAUUUCCGUUUGUUUAAUAUAUUUAUUUGUCGUAAUUAAAUAGUAUUUUGUCUUGAUCAUACA